GACGAACGCUGGCGGCGUGCUUAACACAUGCAAGUCGAACGGAAAGGCCCUGCUUUUGUGGGGUUCUCGAGUGGCGAACGGGUGAGUAACACGUGAGUAACCUGCCCUUGACUGUGGGAUAACUUCAGGAAACUGGGGCUAAUGCCGGAUAGGAGCUCCUGCUGCAGGGGGGGGGUUGGAAAGUUUCGGCGGUUGGGGAUGGACUCGCGGCUUAUCAGCUUGUUGGUGGGGUAGUGGCUUACCAAGGCUUUGACGGGUAGCCGGCCUGAGAGGGUGACCGGCCACAUUGGGACUGAGAUACGGCCCAGACUCCUACGGGAGGCAGCAGUGGGGAAUAUUGCACAAUGGGCGGAAGCCUGAUGAAGCAACGCCGCGUGCGGGAUGAAGGCCUUCGGGUUGUAAACCGCUUUCGCCUGUGACGAAGCGUGAGUGACGGUAAUGGGUAAAGAAGCACCGGCUAACUACGUG
rnacentral:rRNA from 1 species